rnacentral:rRNA from 1 species
CGCCUGGGGAGUACGGGUGAGGUAACGGCUCACCAAGGCAUCGACGGGUAGCUGGUCUGAGAGGAUGAUCAGCCACGCUGGGACUGAGACACGGCCCAGACUCCUACGGGAGGCAGCAGUAGGGAAUAUUGCACAAUGGGCGAAAGCCUGAUGCAGCAACGCCGCGUGCGGGAAGAAGGCCCUAGGGUUGUAAACCGCUUUCAGCAGGGAAGAAAAUGACGGUACCUGCAGAAGAAGGUGCGGCCAACUACGUGCCAGCAGCCGCGGUGACACGUAGGCACCAAGCGUUGUCCGGAUUUAUUGGGCGUAAAGAGCUCGUAGGCGGUUCAGUUAGUCGGGUGUGAAAACUCUGGGCUCAACCCAGAGACGCCACUCGAUACUGCUGUGACUAGAGUGCGGUAGGGGAGCGGGGAAUUCCUAGUGUAGCGGUGAAAUGCGCAGAUAUUAGGAGGAACACCAGUGGCGAAGGCGCCGCUCUGGGCCGUAACUGACGCUGAGGAGCGAAAGCGUGGGUAGCAAACAGGAUUAGAUACCCUGGUAGUCCACGCCGUAAACGUUGGGCACUAGGUGUGGGUCUCAACCAACGAGAUCCGCGCCGUCACUAACGCAUUAAGUGCCCCGCCUGGGGAGUACGG